UACUCGAGUGGCGAACGGGUGAGUAACACGUGGGUGAUCUGCCCUGCAUUUCGGGAUAAGCUUGGGAAACUGGGUCUAAUACCGGAUAGGAGCCAUCUUUAGUGUGGUGGUUGGAAAGUUUUUUCGGUGUAGGAUGAGCUCGCGGCCUAUCAGCUUGUUGGUGGGGUAAUGGCCUACCAAGGCGGCGACGGGUAGCCGGCCUGAGAGGGUGUACGGCCACAUUGGGACUGAGAUACGGCCCAG
rnacentral:rRNA from 1 species